rnacentral:rRNA from 1 species
GUACCUUACUACUUGGAUAACCGUGGUAAUUCUAGAGCUAAUACAUGCUAAAAACCCCGACUUCGGAAGGGGUGUAUUUAUUAGAUAAAAAACCAAUGCCCUUCGGGGCUCCUUGGUGAUUCAUAAUAACUUAACGAAUCGCAUGGCCUUGUGCCGGCGAUGGUUCAUUCAAAUUUCUGCCCUAUCAACUUUCGAUGGUAGGAUAGUGGCCUACCAUGGUUUCAACGGGUAACGGGGAAUUAGGGUUCUAUUCCGGAGAGGGAGCCUGAGAAACGGCUACCACAUCCAAGGAAGGCAGCAGGCGCGCAAAUUACCCAAUCCCGACACGGGGAGGUAGUGACAAUAAAUACUGAUACAGGGCUCUUUUGGGUCUUGUAAUUGGAAUGAGUACAAUUUAAAUCCCUUAACGAGGAACAAUUGGAGGGCAAGUCUGGUGCCAGCAGCCGCGGUAAUUCCAGCUCCAAUAGCGUAUAUUAAAGUUGUUGCAGUUAAAAAGCUCGUAGUUGAACCUUGGGCCUGGCUGGCCGGUCCGCCUCACCGCGUGCACUGGUCCGGCCGGGUCUUUCCUUCUGGGGAGCCGCAUGCCCUUCACUGGGUGUGUCGGGGAACCAGGACUUUUACUUUGAAAAAAUUAGAGUGUUCAAAGCAGGCCUAUGCUCGAAUACAUUAGCAUGGAAUAAUAGAAUAGGACGUGUGGUUCUAUUUUGUUGGUUUCUAGGACCGCCGUAAUGAUUAAUAGGGAUAGUC